UACGGGGGGAGCAAGCGUUGUUCGGAUUUACUGGGCGUAAAGGGCGCGUAGGCGGCGUGACAAGUCACUUGUGAAAUCUCCGGGCUUAACUCGGAACGGUCAAGUGAUACUGUCGUGCUAGAGUACAGAAGGGGCAACUGGAAUUCUCGGUGUAGCGGUGAAAUGCGUAGAUAUCUGGAGGAACACCGGUGGCGAAGGCGGCAUCCUGGGUCGGUAUUGACGCUGAGGAGCGAAAGCCAGGGGAGCAAACAGG
rnacentral:rRNA from 1 species